GGAGGCGUGGCUGAGUGGUUGAAGGCAACAGUCUUGAAAACUGUCAUGUGGGAAACUGCAUCGUGAGUUCGAAUCUCACCGCCUCCG
rnacentral:tRNA from 1 species